rnacentral:rRNA from 1 species
AAUAAUGCAGACAGUGGAUGCCUUGCUUCUUAUCUCCGAAAAAGGACGUACAUAGCCACGAAAGUCGCCGGGUAGCUGCUACGAAGCUUUGAUCCGACGGUGUCCGAAUGGGGAAACCCAUCGCGUUUUACGCGAUACUCUGUGGUAAAAACGUCGACGCAAGUCGAUGUAUAGCCGCUGAGGGGAAACCGCCCGAACUGAAACAUCUAAGUAGGGCGAGGAAUAUAAAUCAAAUCGAGAUUCCGCCAGUAGCGGCGAGCGAAAACGGAAUAGUCUAAAUGCGUGAGCAGCACGCAGGACAUACGACAUAGAUUGAAGAACUCGGGGUUAAACCCUUGUUCUUUGUUCUACGAACUGUGUUCUGCAUGCUGCGCAUGCACGUUGCGGGAGCCCAAUAUGGGAUUAGUAUUUAAUAGCAGAAUGGUCUGGAAUGGCCAAUCAUAGGGAGUGAAAAUCUCGUAUGCAAAAUUAAAUAUUACCCUAGGGAUUUCCCAAGUACCACGGAGCACAUACUCUGUGGGAAUCGGGGGGAACCAUCCUCCAAGACUAAAUAAGAUAAGAGAGCGAUAGUGAACUAGUACCGUGAGGGAAAGGUGAAAAGCUGGGUGAGACACCCAAUGAAAUAGAACCUGAAACUGUUUGCAGUCAAACCGUGAGAGCCCCAAUUUAUUGGGGUGAUCGCGUGCCUAUUGAAGAAUGAGCCGGCGAGUUUUCAAUUAUUUCCAGUCUAAGUCGUCUAAGACGAUGGAGGCGUAGGGAAACCGAGUGUUAAUAGCGCGUCAGAAAUAAUUGGAAGACCCGAAACCAGGUGAGCUAACCUCGAGCAGGGUGAACCAAGCAGAAAUGCUUGUGGGAGGCCCGAACCCGUUGUUGUUGCAAUAACAUGGGAUGACUUGUGGUUAGGGGCAAUAUACUUAUCGAACCUGGAGAUAGCUGGUUCUCCCCGAAAGGUCUAUGGGGACCGUGGCACGUAACGUUCUGUUGGUUGUAGAGCACUGGAUGGGUAAGAGAGCGUAAGCAAUUUUACUCAAUCAAACUCCGAAUGCCAGCGUGAAUUAUCGUGCUAGAAAGCCGCAUCGGGCUAAGCUGAUGCGACGAAAGGGAAACAACCCUUGACUCUCAGUUAAGGCCUCUAAAUUACAACUAAGUUUGAAAGGAAGUUUCUUUUCUCAGACAGCCAGGAGGUUGGCUCAGAAGCAGCCACCCUUUAAAGAUAGCGUAACAGCUCACUGGUCGAUGGGAGGAAGCGCCGAAGAUUUAUCGAGGAUAAGUUGUAUGCCGAAGCUAGAGAUUUUACACCGUGAGGUGUGGAGUGGUAGGGGAGCGUUCCAAUUGCGGUGAAGCUCUGGCUGUAAGGCCGGGUGGAGCGGUUGGGAGUGAGAAUGUCGGCUUGAGUAGCGCACAACGCUAGUGAGAAUCUAGCGCGUCGAAUGUCCAAGGUUUCCACUGCAAGAUUCGUUCUCAGUGGGUUAUUCGGUACCUAAGGCGAGGCCGUUUUGGCGUAGUCGAAUGGAUGAUUGGUUAAAAUUCCAAUAUUUGUGUUAAAUCGUUAUCAACUAGGGAUUUACUAAGCAGGAAUUUCGGAGCUUUUUCGUGAAGUAAAGUGCAGAAGCCAAAACAGUUGUGAUUGGAAAAUCCGUCGCAGCGUUUAAUUAAGGUGGUGCAAAGUCUUCCGCGAGGGAGGCGAUUCCGAACGUUUCAGUUUACGAGAAAAGAUUCGUAGUGAGAGUUAACAUAAGCCGUACCGCAAACCGACACAGGUGGACUGGGGGAGAACCCUAAGACGAUCGAGAGACAAACCCUCAAGGAACUCGGCAAAAAAACUACCCGUAACCUAGGGAGAUGGGUUGCCUUGCUUAAAAACAAGGUGGCACCUAAAGUUUAUUAGUCGACUGUUUAUCAAAAACACAGGUCCGUGCAAAGGCGAAAGCCGAAGUAUACGGGCUGACGCUUGUCCAGUGCCGGUAAGUUAAGAGGAGGAGUAGUAGCCGCAAGGCUACCGCCCCGAAUUUAAGCUCCGGUGAACGGCAGCAGUAACUAUGAAUCAGUUGUAGUUAUGUAGGUAUAAGUGUGAAUCCUACCGUCUACAGAAAAAUGACGCAAAAGUUGACCAAAUGCUGGAAUAUCCGUACCGUUACAAACGGUUGAAGUAUCUGACGCUACCAUAUAUUAUGGUAAUAAUGCGAACAGUGCGGAAAAUCAGCAGGAAAGAUUUUUUUGGAAGAAAUCUUAAUUUUUUCUUAAGCGGUUUUGUUGAAGGGGAAGGAAGUUUUAAUGUUUCGUUACGCCGAAAGAUUGACUACAAAGUUAAUUGGCAGGUUGUAAUGAGCUUUAAUGUUUCCCAGAAAGACCCCACAAUUCUAAAGAUAUUGAAAGAAGUUCUUGAUUGCGGAAUCAUAAAAGUUCGCAGGAAAGACAAUCUUCAUUCUUAUGAUGUAACAAAUCCGAAAGAAAUAAUUGAGAAAGUUAUACCGUUUUUUCAAAAGUAUCCGGUUCUUUCAGAAUCAAAAAAGAGAAAUUUUGCAAUUUUUUGUAAGAUAGCAUCUUUGAUGAAGAAGGGGGAACAUAAAAAUUCAUCCGGUUUAAGAAAAAUUCUCGAAUUUCGGGAAAAUCUUAAUACGGGUGCUGGGAGAACAAGAAAAUACGGCAUUAACGACGUUUUUCCAAAGAAAAAUCCUCAGAGACUACACGUCAACUGACUAAAUUUCGUGAAUUUGGUUAAUGAUAUAGUCCUAUCUUACGAGCGAUCGUAAGUCUACGUAAUUCUAAAUCGUAGCUUGUAAAAAAUGAACUGUUCUAAGGUGGAAU